GGUAAAGAAUCAGACCUCCAGCUGGUCCAGGGCUCAGGGUUAAACCCAGGGGUGCCCUCAAAGAACAGACAAAAUCCUUGUUCUCAGUCAUGAGACAGCCACACCUACUUGGCCCAGCAGGGGUCUAUGAAAGACAGAACUUGUAGGGGUCUGCAAGGGAAGCUGAGCAUCCUGCAGCCCCCAGGGACGCUACAAGGCAGCUGAGGGCCUCAAAACCUUACCACCAUCACGCCCACCACCCACCAGCCUCCGUGUGUCACCCAGAACCAUGGAUGCCCUCACUUGCUGCCUGCUCACUUCUCCUACUUUGAUAAGGUCACUCGCCAUGCUUUAUAACGCAAAAAUAAUAUUCCUGCUGCCAUUGCAAAUUAUGUCUGAACUAUCCACCCUUCCCAGCCUC
rnacentral:lncRNA from 1 species